GCCCACUGCCGCACUGCGACACCGCUCCACCCACCCCAACCUAGGCAGUAGGCAGUAGGCAUCAAGCGUCCUGCGUGGCUGCGUCCAAGUCCAAGCGCCGUCCGGCCACCAGCGCAGGUACCGAGCCACCGAGGUAGGAGCCAGCCACCGGGCAGAUCCCAGGCUGCCAGCCACCGGCGUCCAGCACUCCGGCUGCCAGCUACCGGCCACCCGCAGCGCAGGCCACACCAAUGGGUAGCAACCGCAUGGCGCCAUGGCUGCCGACGAACACCAGCAGCGAGACGGCCAGACCCCAGGUUAUGUUACUACUAUUAUUUCUAUAUGAUAUAUUUGUCUAAAGUAUAAAGUCUAAACGCUAUAUGAAAUGUGAUUUUAUAUAGCUAUAUAUGAGUGUCAAAUAGAGAGUUAUAUACUCAUAUAUUGUUUGCUUCUAUAACAGUAAUUCGAUUUAUUAUAUCUUCGUCGAGGAUAGUGACACGUCACGUCAGUGUCCGGCCAUCGCUUGAGAGGCGCGAAUGUCUUCGCUGCGCCGUCACGAUCCAGGCUCGCAUCCCCUUCUGACGCGCACCCAUUGCGGGCAGACGUUUGGGCUUUGUGUGGAUGGAUCAUGGACGUACAUACCACGUUUGUUUUUCUAACUAAAUCUUCACUUCUUUGAAUCGCAGAGUCCAACCCAAGGAUGGUUUAGGCUACUGAAGGGCAAUGCACUGAUUCUUAGACUAUUGAAGAAUUUACAGGAUGAUGUGCAGGAGCAGGCAGCUACUAUGCAAUUUUCUAUUUAUUGUACUCUUGCCACGAACUGCUCGUAAUUCUCUUUCAGUUUGUUGCAGAGCGUGGGCAGUAAAUGCAAAGAAAAAACACAGUUGCAGAAAUUGCUAGCAAUAGACUAUACAAGAUAGAGCCAAAUUGAGCAAAAAAAAAGACCAUUCCCAUUUGGAUCACCAUUCCCUAACCACAGCAAAAUGAAGGUGGAAAAUUGAGUAGUUGAGUGCCGUGUAUGCACAUGAGCAGGGCUAAUACUUUAUAAGAAAUGUGCUGGUUCUUGAUACUCCUCCAACCAGUUGUAGAAGAAUUCUGGUUUGGCUGAAGUAGUUUUACAUCCGAAAGAUGGACUUUGUACAGAUAUAUUCUCUGUCAACAAUAUGUAUAUCCAGGCGGAGAUGAACUUGGAGGGAAGCAGAUUUACAGUUUGGUGAUAUUAUAUAUUAUCAAUCGCAGUUUAUUAAUGUUGCGCUUCUUCUCUAUUAUCAAACUAUUCACACAAGACUUCAUGUGUGCGUGUGUGAAAGAUUUUAUUAGUGUAAGGUCUUUAGGGACAGUUCACAUUGAAGUUCUGGUGCCUACAUAAAUUGUAAACCAUACAUGUUGACAUGGGUACACAUCUCAUGGCUAUAUACAACUUUGACAUGAGGUUUAUCUUAAGAUUGUGUGUUCCAAUAAAAGCUGUUACUAUUUCUUGCAUGUGCAUGUCUUUAGGAUAUACAUUUUUCUUUAUAGAUUUAUUUAUUUACAUCGCUUACUGCUUACUAGCCUAUUUUUUCUAGCAAUUUCUGCAAGUCGACCCAUCGUGUUGAACUAAACCAUCUCUAAUUUCCUACAGCUUCAACUCCAACAACAGGUACCUAUAAUUACCACAUCCACCCUUCCCCUGUUUUAUUUGUAGCCCAUUGAUUCAUGUCUAUAUUGACUUAUUUUCUUGCUACAUUUCUAUACAUAUACUCCAUGGUAACAUUAUACAUUCAUUUUCUAUUCAUGUUACAUUGACAAAUACAUAGAUAGUACAUGCAGUUUCUGAUGAUUAUAUCUACGUACAUACAUGUACUUUCAUCGUAAUAUGUAAGGGAUAUUCAAGUUACUGACAUAAAUACUCACAUUGACUUUAUAUAAUGACAAAUCAAAAUCCACAUUUGGUUCCCAUAAAUGUACAUGUCUUCAAGAUAUACAUUUUCAUUUCCAUAUUCAAGUUACAGAGAUUACUAACACCUUCAUAGCCUAUUUUCUAACUGAUUCUGUAGGAUGGCCCCACACACUUAAUGAAAACAUCUCUAAUUUCUAGCAAAUUCGACUCCGAGGACAAUAAAGGUACCACAAUGGACUUCUUAAGAAGAAUAGGAAUCGUGUACAUAAGCUUUUUUGCUCUAAUAAAAUAAGAGUGGUAAUGGAAGCUCUUUGUCAGAACCUAUUUUAUCAAAUGUAUUACACAUGUGUUGAUGUCUCACCAUUGUUGUCUUCCUCCCUGUGACUAAAGGUUGUUGCAACAAUGGCAUUCAGAAUGGGUCUUGAU
rnacentral:lncRNA from 7 species